CGCACAUUGCGCCCCGUGGUAUUCCGCGGGGCAUGCCUGUUCGAGCGUCAUUUCACCACUCAAGCCUCGCUUGGUAUUGGGCGCCGCGACUUUGGUCGCGCGCCUUAAAGUCUCCGGCUGAGCAGUCUGUCUCCGAGCGUUGUGACACAUAUUCGCUAGGGAGUGCAGGUCUGUCGCGGCCGUUAAAUCUUUAUUACAGGUUGACCUCGGAUCAGGUAGGGAUACCCGCUGAACUUAA
rnacentral:misc_RNA from 1 species